GCCUGGGUGGCUCAGUCGGUUAAGCAUCUGACUUCAGCUCAGGUCAUGAUCUCACGGUUCGUGGGUUUGAGCCCCACACCGGGCU
rnacentral:tRNA from 1 species